rnacentral:rRNA from 1 species
UACGUAGGGUGCGAGCGUUAAUCGGAAUUACUGGGCGUAAAGUGUGCGCAGGCGGCCGAGCAAGUCGAGUGUGAAAGCCCCGGGCUUAACUUGGGAAUUGCGCUCGAAACUACUUGGCUGGAGUGUGGCAGAGGAAGGUGGAAUUCCAGGUGUAGCGGUGAAAUGCGUAGAGAUCUGGAGGAACACCGAUGGCGAAGGCAGCCUUCUGGGCCAACACUGACGCUCAUGCACGAAAGCGUGGGUAGCGAACAGG